rnacentral:rRNA from 1 species
GACGAACGCUGGCGGCGUGCCUAAUACAUGCAAGUAGAACGCUGAAGAGAGGAGCUUGCUCUUCUUGGAUGAGUUGCGAACGGGUGAGUAACGCGUAGGUAACCUGCCUGGUAGCGGGGGAUAACUAUUGGAAACGAUAGCUAAUACCGCAUAACAACAGUUGUUGCAUGACAGCUGUUUAAAAGAUGCAAUUGCAUCACUACCAGAUGGACCUGCGUUGUAUUAGCUAGUUGGUGAGGUAACGGCUCACCAAGGCGACGAUACAUAGCCGACCUGAGAGGGUGAUCGGCCACACUGGGACUGAGACACGGCACAGACUCCUACGGGAGGCAGCAGUAGGGAAUCUUCGGCAAUGGGGGGAACCCUGACCGAGCAACGCCGCGUGAGUGAAGAAGGUUUUCGGAUCGUAAAGCUCUGUUGUAAGAGAAGAACGGGUGUGAGAGUGGAAAGUUCACACUGUGACGGUAUCUUACCAGAAAGGGACGGCUAACUACGUG